GUGGAUAAGAAUCGAAUGUUCGUUUGAGUUUAUUAAUUUAAUCUAAAUAUGUUUUAUAAUUUGAUUAAUUAGGAUUUAGGUUAAUAGGUGUGUGGGGGGGGGGGGCAAAUCGCAUUUUAUGUACGAAAAAUUCUAAAAAUCCAAUGGCGGACUAUCAACAUAAAAAUUAUUUAGCGCCCACUCCCCCUGUCUGGAGUCGACCACCCCCAGUCGAGACCACGCCCACCGCCGAUAACCCCCCGUCCACCAAAAAAUUUUGACUGAGGUACGAAAAAUCCUAGAUCCGCCCCUGAACAGCAAAAAUUUUCCUUUCAAAAAUUGUCAACCUUUCACCAUGUAAAACAUGUCCAGCACGUUUUUUAUAUACAUAUAUUUCUGUAUAUUUAGAAAAUUUCGACCAGACAGGGAAAAUUUUUCUCACAAACAGACGAAUAUACGAGCGUGCUCAUGGGCAUACUGGAUAAUAAGGAAGGUAGAUUUCGGCAUACCCUGCAGUAGCCUCGGCGAUUUGUCGCGAUGAAUUAAGGAUGUGGGAUAUCGGAAGACCUGGUAGGUAGCCACUGUUUGUGAUGGCUAUAUGAAAAAGCAGUAUGUGGCCCUUUAAUUAGCUGCAGUACUAGUAUAGUUGAGAAAUCCGGGUAAGGUGGAGCGAAGAACAACCUAAAAGCCUACUGAUAAAGCCUCUAUAAGCCUACUGAUUAAGACGGAUCAACAAGUCUGCAAGUCAAAAUGUGCUCUAAAACCCCCCUGAACCAAAAUUUUCUCCAUCAAUAUGGGUUUUGAAUCUUUUUAGGUUGAUCUAUGUCUAUGACGAAAAAACUCGGAUGUUCCAUCAGUCCGAAAUUUAGUUCACUCGAGAAUCCCGGAUAACGGAUAAGGUUAGUAUAACUUAUUAUGAAGGACGGAUAACGAACAUUUCCACUAGUCAUCUCAAAUUUGAAAAUGUGUUCUAAAAUUCUCCCGGGCCAUAACUAUCUUCAUCAAUAUGCGUUCUUAAUCUUUCUAGGUCGAUCUAUAUCCAGUAUAACAAAAAUUUUUUUUCCAUCAGCCCGAAAUUUAGUUGACUAGAGGAUCCCGGAUAGCGGACAAGCUUAGUAUAAUUUAUUAUGAAGGACGGAUAACGAACAUCUGCAUAAGUCAUCUCAAAUUUGAAAAUGUGUUCUAAAAUUCUCCUGAGCCAAAACUAUCUUCAUCAUUAUGCGUUCUGAACCUUUCUAGGUCGAUCUAUGUCCAGUAUGACAAAAAAUUUUUCCAUCAGUCCGAAAUUUAGUUGACUCGAGAAUCCCGGAUAACGGAUAAGGUUAGUAUAACUUAUUAUGAAGGACCGAUAACGAACAUUUGCAUAAGGGCCAGGUUGGAAAUAGCAAUAAAGCGAUUUCUCACAUAGAAGUAUAAAAAGAAUAAAAAAUAGCCUGAAUAAAUAAAGAAAAAAACAAUUGUGAGUCCGCUAUGAGUUCAACGGGAUUUGAACCCAAACGUUAAUAAUGAUAGGCCAAACGGCCUACCACUAAGCCACCAGGGACGAUCUGAAAUUCUUGUGAAAUUAAAGCCAGAAUAGUAGAUUGUUGUGACCUGCUUAUCUCAUGAGGUGAAGGAGACUAUUAUGCGGUGAAUGGCGGUGAACGCGGUGAAAGAAUUCAAUAUGAAAUCAACACAGAAUGAUUACCUGGAUCUCUUCGGGCCAGGUUCAACAUAGCAAUAUUUUUUCUGCUUGUAAAGCGAUUUCUCACAUAGAAAUAUAAAAAGAGAAAAAAAUAGCCAGAUUAUAUAAAGUUUAAAAGGAAAAAAAAUUGUGAGUCUGCUACAAAAUAUGAGUUCAGCGUGAUUUGAACUCAAACGUUUAUCGAGAUAGGCCAAACGAAUAUUCAAAUAUCGUAAUAUCGAUUCCAACAUCAAAUCCAUCUUUGUAGUGUUAAAUCGUGUUAUUUAAUUCUUGCGAUGCCCCGCGCAAUUCUUGAUCAUCCGAGGUAGUUAAAUUUUCAUUUCGCCCGCGGUUUAUCUGAAAAUGUUACAGUAGCUUUGGAACAUUACUUUGUUAAGACUUUGAAACAAGUGAUCUCUUUCAGGUGUAUUUGGUCUAUUUUACCGGCUUAACCGAAUUAUGAUUGGUUACAUGUUUUGAUGCCAUCAAAGAUAUAUUUCGAUUGGCUGAAAGAUAAUUGGUCAUGAGAUGUGCACGUGUACGCAUUGCCAAUACAAAGAUGACCUUUGAUACAAAUGACAGCUGCGGGUCUGUGACCUUUGUACCGCACGCAAAAUAUUCAAAUCGUUGUCAUAUAAAUUAGACUAAAUUUGUGGACAGCAUUGCCCAUUAACUUAAAUUUAUAAUAUAUAUAAAUUAGCUAAAAAAAUAUUGCGAGUCCGCUACAAAAUAUGAGUUCAACGUGAUUUGAACCCAAACGUAAUUAAUAGAGACAGGCCAGACAAACUACCACUAAGCCACCAGGGACGAUCUGAAAUUUUUGCGAAAUUAAAGACAAUAGUAGAUUGUUGUGACCUGCUUAUUGUCGUAGGUUCCCAGCGCAGCGCCGCCAAUUCAUUCAACUUUAAAUAUACUUCAUGUAAUAUAUCAGUAUUGUGAUUGACGUAAUUCAUGUUAAAUCGUAAAUAAGUCUUUGUAUGUGUAAAUUGAUACGUCACAGUGACACAUUGUAAUUUGGUAGGGUAAUCAAAUAGCUAGGGAGUGAUUGAAUGUCAUUGUUGCUGUCAGAUCGUAGCGAGACAAUCGGAAUGUUUAACAGUCUAAAACUCACGUUGUAAAUAGUAUACUUUCACAUAUUACAAUCAAUACAAUUAUAAAAUACAGUCCCUUGAGCGUUUACUGAAUGAACCAGACGGUGGAAUCACAAGUUCCGCAACACUUAUCUCAUGCGGUGUAGGAGACUAUUAUGCGGUGAAUGGCGGUGAACGCGGUGAAAGAAUUCAAUAGACACCUUAAGAUUGACGUUUACGGCAAACGUCAAACCGCUAGCGAUGUUUUUUAUUUUACAACUCUAUUACAACAGCUUUUACACCAGUUUUGAAAUAAUGUUAAACAAUUAUUAAACUUGUGCUUUUUAGCAAUGAUUUAAGAAAGCAAAUUAACCACUAGUCAUGUAUUCACCAAAGCAGUAAAUUAAGAUUUGUCGUUUGAAGUUAACGUUUGACGUAUAAAUUUCAUACUUGAACUGCUACGAGGGCUUAUAGUCGUUCAAGCAUGAAAUUUAUACGCCAAACGUAAACUUCAAAUGCCAAAUCUUAAUUUACUGCUUUGGUGAAUACAUGACUAGUGGUUAAUUUGCUUUCUUAAAUCAUUGCUAAAUACCACAAGUUUAAUAAUUGUUUAACAUAUUUCAAAACUGGUGUAAAAGCUGUUAUAUAAUAGACUUGUAAAAUCAAAACUUCGCUAGCGGUUUGACGUUUGCCGUAAACGUCAAUCUUAAGGUGUCUAAUAUGAAAUCAACACAGAAUGAUUAGCUGGAUCUCUUCGGGCCAGCUUCAACAUAGCAAUAUUUUUUUCUGCUUGUAAAGCGAUUUCUCACAUAGAAAUAUAAAAAGAGUAAAAAAUAGCCAGAUUAUAUAAAGAUUAAAGGGAAAAAAAUUUGUGAGUCUGCUACAAAAUAUGAGUUCAGCGUGAUUUGAACUCAAACGUUUAUCGAGAUAGGCCAAACGAACUACCACUAAGCCACCAGGGACGAUCUGAAAUUUUUGUGAAAUUAAAGACAAUAGUAGAUUGUUGUGACCUGCUUAUCUCAUGCGGUGUAGGAGACUAUUAUGCGGUGAAUGGCGGUGAACGCGGUGAAAGAAUUCAAUAUGAAAUCAACACAGAAUGAUUAGCUGGAUCUCUUCGGGCCAGGUUCAACAUAGCAAUAUUUUAUACUACUUGCAAAGCGAUUUCUCACAUAGAACUAUAAAAAGAGUAAAAAAUAGCCAGAUUAUAUAAAGGGAAAAAAAAUAUUGAGAGUCCGCUACAAAAUAUGAGUUCAACGUGAUUUGAACCCAAACGUUAAUAGAGACAGGCCAGACAAACUACCACUAAGCCACCAGGGACGAUCUGAAAUUUUUGUGAAAUUAAAGACAAUAGUAGAUUGUUGUGACCUGUUUAUCUCAUGCGGUGUAAGAGACAAUUAUGCGGUGAAUGGCGGUGAACGCGGUGAAAGAAUUCACUAUGAAAUCAACACAGAAUGAUUAGCCGGAUCUCUUCGGGCCAGGUUCAACAUAGCAAUAUUUUAUACUACUUGCAAAGCGAUUUCUCACAUAGAACUAUAAAAAGAGUAAAAAAUAGCCAGAUUAUAUAAAGGGAAAAAAAAUAUUGUGAGUCCGCUACAAAAUAUGAGUUCAACGUAAUUUGAACCCAAACGUUAAUAGAGACAGGCCAGACGAACUACCACUAAGCCACCAGGGACGAUCUGAAAUUUUUGUGAAAUUAAAGACAAUAGUAAAUUGUUGUGACCUGCUUAUCUCAUGCGGUGUAGGAGACUAUUAUGCGGUGAAUGGCGGUGAAAGAAUUCAAUAUGAAAUCAACAGAGAAUGAUUAGCUGGAUCUCUUCGGGCCGGGUUCAACAUAGCAAUAUUUUAUACUACUUGCAAAGCGAUUUCUCACAUAGAACUAUAAAAAGAGUAAAAAAUAGCCAGAUUAUAUAAAGGGAAGAAAAAUAUUGAGAGUCCGCUACAAAAUAUGAGUUCAACGCGAUUUGAACCCAAAUGUUAAUAGAGACAGGCCAGACGAACUACCACUAAGCCACCAGGGACGAUCUGAAAUUUUUGUGAAAUUAAAGACAAUAGUAAAUUGUUGUGACCUGCUUAUCUCAUGCGGUGUAGGAGACUAUUAUGCGGUGAAUGGCGGUGAACGCGGUGAAAGAAUUCAAUAUGAAAUCAACACAGAAUGAUUAGCUGGAUCUCUUCGGGCCAGGUUCAACAUAGCAAUAUCUUAUACUACUUGCAAAGCGAUUUCUCACAUAGAACUAUAAAAAGAGUAAAAAAUAGCCAGAUUAUAUAAAGGGAAAAAAAAUAUCGUGAGUCCGCUACAAAAUAUGAGUUCAACGUGAUUUGAACCCAAACGUUAAUAGAGACAGGCCAGACGAACUACCACUAAGCCACCAGGGACGAUCUGAAAUUUUUGUGAAAUUAAAGACAAUAGUAGAUUGUUGUGACCUGCUUAUCUCAUGCGGUGCAGGAGACUAUUAUGCGGUGAAUGGCGGUGAAUGCGGUGAAAGAAUUCAAUAUGAAAUUAACACGGAAUGAUUAGCUGGAUCUCUUCGGGCCAGGUUCAACAUAGCAAUAUUUUAUACUACUUGCAAAGCGAUAUCUCACAUAGAACUAUAAAAAGAGUGAAAAAUAGCCAGAUUAUAUAAAGGAAAAAAAAUAUUGUGAGUCCGCUACAAAAUAUGAGUUCAACGUGAUUUGAACCCAAACGUUAAUAGAGACAGGCCAGACGAACUACCACUAAGCCACCAGGGACUAUCUGAAAUUUUUGUGAAAUUAAAGACAAUAGUAGAUUGUUGUGACCUGCUUAUCUCAUGCGGUGUAGGAGACUAUUAUGCGGUGAAUGGCGGUGAACGCGGUGAAAGAAUUCAAUAUGAAAUCAACACAGAAUGAUUAGCUGGAUCUCUUCAGGCCAGGUUCAACAUAGCAAUAUUUUUUUCUCCUUGUAAAGCAAUUUCUCACAUAGAAAUAUAAAAAGAGUAAAAAAUAGCCAGAUUAUAUAAAGAUUAAAAGGAAAAAAAUUUGUGAGUCUGCUACAAAAUAUGAGUUCAACGUGAUUUGAACCCAAACGUUAAUAGAGACAGGCCAGACGAACUACCACUAAGCCACCAGGGACGAUCUGAAAUUUUUGUGAAAUUAAAGACAAUAGUAGAUUGUUGUGACCUGCUUAUCUCACGCGGUGUAGGAGACUAUUAUGCGGUGAAUGGCGGUGAACGCGGUGAAAGAAUUCAAUAUGAAAUCAACACAGAAUGAUUAGCUGGAUCUCUUCGGGCCCGGUUCAACAUAGCAAUAUUUUAUACUACUUGCAAAGCGAUUUCUCACAUAGAACUAUAAAAAGAGUAAAAAAUAGCCAGAUUAUAUAAAGGGAAAAAAAUAUUGUGAGUCCGCUACAAAAUAUGAGUUCAACGUGAUUUGAACCCAAACGUUAAUAGAGACAGGCCAGACGAACUACCACUAAGCCACCAGGGACGAUCUGAAAUUUUUGUGAUAUUAAAGACAAUAGUAGAUUGUUCUGACCUGCUUAUCUCAUGCGGUGUAGGAGACUAUUAUGCGGUGAAUGGCGGUGAACGCGGUGAAAGAAUUCAAUAAGAAAUCAACACAGAAUGAUUAGCUGCAUCUCUUCGGGCCAGGUUCAACAUAGCAAUAUUUUAUACUACUUGCAAAGCGAUUUCUCACAUAGAAGUACAAAAAGUAUAAAAAAUAGCAAGAAUAAAUAAAGGGGAAAAAUAUUGAGAGUCCGCUAAAAAAUAUGAGUUCAACGGGAUUUGAACCCAAACGUUAAUAGAGACAGGACAUACGAACUACCACUAAGCCACCAGGGACGAUCUGAAGUUCUUGCGAAAUUAAAGACAAUAGUAGAUUGUUGUGACCUGCUUAUCUCAUGCGGUGUAGGAGACUAUUAUGCGGUGAAUGGCGGUGAACGCGGUGAAGAAUUCAAUAUGAAAUCAACACAGAAUGAUUAGCUGGAUCUCUUCGGGCCAGGUUCAACAUAGCAAUAUUUUUUUCUGCUUGUAAAGCAAUUUCUCACAUAGAAAUAUAAAAAGAGUAAAAAAUAGCCAGAUUAUAUAAAGAUUAAAGGGAAAAAAAAUUGUGAGUCUGCUACAAAAUAUGAGUUCAGCGUGAUUUGAACUCAAACGUUUAUCGAGAUAGGCCAAACGAACUACCACUAAGCCACCAGGGACGAUCUGAAAUUUUUGUGAAAUUAAAGACAAUAGUAGAUUGUUGUGACCUGCUUAUCUCAUACGGUGUAGGAGACUAUUAUGCGGUGAAUGGCGGUGAACGCGGUGAAAAAAUUCAAUAUGAAAUCAACACAGAAUGAUUAGCUGGAUCUCUUCGGGCUAGGUUCAACAUAGCAAUAUUUUAUACUACUUGCAAAGCGAUUUCUCACAUAGAACUAUAAAAAGAGUAAAAAAUAGCCAGAUUAUAUAAAGGGAAAAAAAAUAUUGAGAGUCCGCUACAAAAUAUGAGUUCAACGUGAUUUGAACCCAAACGUUAAUAGAGACAGGCCAGACGAACUACCACUAAGCCACCAGGGACGAACUGAAAUUUUUGUGAAAUUAAAGACAAUAGUAGAUUGUUGUGACCUGCUUAUCUCAUGCGGUGUAGGAGACUAUUAUGCGGUGAAUAGCGGUGAAUGCGGUGAAAGAAUUCAAUAUGAAAUCAACACGGAAUGAUUAGCUGGAUCUCUUCGGGCCAGGUUCAACAUAGCAAUAUUUUAUACUACUUGCAAAGCGAUAUCUCACAUAGAACUAUAAAAAGAG
rnacentral:lncRNA from 1 species